rnacentral:rRNA from 1 species
UACGAAGGGGGCUAGCGUUGCUCGGAAUCACUGGGCUUAAAGGGCGCGUAGGCGGGUCUCCUAGUCCGGGGUGAAAUCUUUCGGCUUAACCGGAAAAUGGCCUUGGAAACGGGAGACCUCGAGGGAGGCAGGGGCAUGUGGAACUUCCGGUGGAGCGGUGAAAUGCGUUGAGAUCGGAAGGAACGCCGGUGGCGAAAGCGGCGUGCUGG